rnacentral:snoRNA from 1 species
CCACAUGAUGACACAACGCAUUUGUUAUACUUAUUUCUGGUACCUCUUAUUUCAGAGCUAGUGUUUUCGGAUGCUAGCUCAAUGAGUUAAUCGGACUUCUGAUC